UCCGUAGGUGGAUAAUUAAGUCAGAGGUGAAAUCCUGCAGCUCAACUGUAGAAUUGCCUUUGAUACUGGUUAUCUUGAGUCAUUAUGAAGUGGUUAGAAUUGUGUAGUGUAGCGGUGAAAUGCAUAGAUAUUACACAGAAUACCGAUUGCGAAGGCAGAUCACUAAUAACGUACUGACACUGAGGGACGAAAGCGUGGGGAGCGAACAGGAUUAGAUACCCUGGUAGUCC
rnacentral:rRNA from 1 species